UCUCAUCUCUCUCAGGAAAUAAAGGAAAACAUAUAAGCGGGGACCGCGGGUAUAGGUUUUUCCCCGAAGCCGGCAACGCUAAAAAUCUGGGGCUCAAUUUCCUCUUUCUGAGGAGAAGGGAGCACGGAAUUCGAAACAAAUCCAACACACCAUGUCAUUUAGCAGCAAGCUUACUCCUGAUCCUCCGAUCCCCUUGGGAAGCAUCAAAGAUCAAUCAACUCCAAGUCAAUAUGUAACGUACCCUUUUCGAUCCAAGCUAUAUAUAUAUAUAUAUAUAGAUAGCUCUUCCCGACGUAGUAAUUAUUAGCAGCAUCAAAAUCCAAGUCAAUUCAAGCAUCUAAUUAAUUGCUUGUCCAUAUCGAUUACGGGUACCAUCCAAGGCCAGUUUCUUGACGUUAUAGGAUACCGAGUGGAUUUCAAAGCAGGACCCGUACGUGUGCAUCGAAUAUGGUAGCACCAAGCACAAAACCAGAACACAUACUAAUGGGCAUACGGAUCCCGUUUUUCAGGAUAAGUUUCCGAUUGAGUUAAUCGAAGGUCUUGGAGAGUUAACCUGCGAAGUUUGGAACCGCAAUACCAUUAAACGCGACACUUUCAUCGGCAGCAGAAAGGUGCUAUUGCAAGGGGUUCUUUCUGGGGGCUACGACGAGAACGACUGGCCGCUAGCUUCAAGAUAAAAAUGGCAGGUAAAUUACCACAUUUUCGUCACAAUAAAAAUGGCUACAACAAAUUAGGGCUUUUGCCACGAGUUCUUUUUUCACGACAUAAUAUCGUGGGAAAAAGUGACCUUUUGCCACUAAAAUUAUUGGAGAGAAUAAACAUAGGCUUUUUUCCAUGAGAUUGUCAUGGUCGAUAAUAUUUAAUGGCAAAAGAUUUUUUCCUACCACCUUCGUAAAUUUUGUGACCAACUUGUUUCUUGAAUAAUAAACAUGGACAACAUAUAGACUUCUAGUGAAAAAAGUCUUAUUGUUACGAGUUAGAUUGUCUUUUUACCAUGAAAUAAAGUCAUUGCAAUAAAUUAUUUAAUAUCUGUUCUCGUCAGUGUGGCUUAUCUAUUUUUAGUGAUGAAAAUGUUAGCCACAAUUAAAAUUUAAAUAUUCAGUGAAUUUUACUCGGCGCCAAAACUCACAAAAACAAACCCCCCCGGGUGCCCAAAACUCUAAUCCCUCUCUCAUUUCCUCUUUCUCGCCUCCCCCCUCCCCCCCACCUAUGUCGUCCCCUCUUGUGACCACCCUAGCUAGCCCGCGUUGCCGCUGUCGACAACACCACGAUGUCGUCGCCGAACCCCUUCUCCCUCUCCCCCUCCUUACCGUCAUGCACUGUCGCAAGCCUAGCCACCAGCGUCGAUUUCCUCUCAGCCGUGCGCGAAGCUGUCUCACAUCCACUCAAAUUUCUCCCUCUUCAAGCCCCGAUACCCUACGGUCUCUCCCUCAUCUCUCUGUUUCUCUCAUCUCUAUAAGAGCCCCUUGUAGUUUCAGAUUCUUUUUGUGAUUUAGGGUAUGUAUUUCAAGAUCUAUCCUUUGUUGUACGUAUUUGAAUUUCUUCUUGGUUGCAUUGCACUGAGAUAUGUUCUUACUAACUCAAAACCCUAGUUUUUGUAGGCAUUUGUGAGUUUCACUAAUAUUUGUUAUUUGCAAUAGAUAGUGGAUCUCUGUUCUUUGCCAUUAAUGUCUGAAAAUAUUUGUGCCAUUGAUGUAUGAAAAUUGAUGCUAGUGUCUGAAAAUAUUCCGUAUAUAUAAAUAUCAAAGUAUUUGUGCCAUUGAUAAUAACUUGCACUUGCUAUUACAGAGAUCAAAGAAUGUCCCUGCAUCACUGAAUCUGGGCUCUUGCAGCCUCGUAGGAAAAUUUCAUUGUAUUUUUUUUGGUUUGUAUCUAGGUUUUAAUUUAUCUCAUUUUAUGUCUAUUGAAAAAAAUUAUAAUUCAAUUGUCCUGCUGAUUAGCAAGGUUUGGGUAGUUGCUUUUGAAAUUACAUGGAUUUGAAGUAACUGUUAGCAAUAUGGGGUUGUCAUUUAACAAGUUUUGGUGCCAUUUGUUGGACCAAUUACUAUAAAUAAGUCCAUGAUUGCUUAUAUUAUGAUUAUUAUUAUUAUUUAGAAGAGGAAAUUGGUUGUUUCUACUAUGAAGCUGACAUACUGGGGUAUACCAAACAUCUUUAUCUUAAUUAGUACUUAGGUAUAAUGAAUUUGGUACCAAUGGUGGACUCGCUGCAAAGGAGUUGGCUAUGAAAUUUGCUAUUCUCCAAAAAAUCCUAUCCUCCAAAUUGGGGGUCUGGGUGCUUGAUGUUGAUGUUUGACAUAUAGUUGCAAUCAAUAUUGCUAUGAAAGUGAUUGGGGGCGUUAUGUUUGUAUUUUACAGCUCCUAUGUAGCUUUUGUCAUUUCACAUGGUUCUUGCAUUCUCCUUGGAUGAAGAGCAGAUCUCCUUCCAUUCUGCUUCUUUCAUGUUUGAUGGCAUUGAAGGUUACUUGCAUCAAAUUGCAAAAAUGAUUCGGCUGCGAAAUGAAUCCUAAGUUCAAGCUUCAUCCAUAUGGAACCACCACCAUUGUUUUGUGUGAACCAAGCACAGUUUGAACUCAUCAAGAUUUGCAUAAAGAUCCUCUUACCUCUGCAGCAAGGAAGUUAAAGAAACCAACUCGAAAUGCUCACAUUAACCAUGCACAUCGUUCAUGAUGUACCAAAACAUUUACAUGAUAUAUUUCUAGAAUAUCAUGAUGGUCACCCUUCCAUAUUCUCCAAGUAUGAUCCAAACAACAAUAUAUUGAUAGUCACCCAUUAUUCUAUAGAUGUGCAGGACGAGUCUGUCAUGAACCUGACUUUGACGGUGUCGUUCGAGAAUUGCUGAAAUGUCACAGUUUUGUAGUGCUAAUGCUAGUAUUUUACUUUGAUAAACCUCUGCGUUUUGGGCAUAGAUAUUAUGUUUGUUAGAAGGGUUUUUAAGUCUUUUUAUAUGUUAGUCUAACAUGGGGUAUGAUGUACGAGCUGGUGGAGGUAUAUAGGAGAGCAGAGGGGAAAGUAGAGGAAUCUCUUGAAUCUAGAAAUUGUCAGUAGUUUUGAUUUGUAAGGAGGUUGGGUUCCCUCGAAGAAUCCCUUAUCAAUAUACUUGUGACUCUCUUUUAUCAUUUUCACAAACACCUUCCAUACAUUCCUUAUUUUCAUCACAGCAGCCAUCGUUUAUAACUCCAUCUAUUUCCUUAAUUACAUCACAGCAAUUCCCAACAGGUUCAUUACAGAGUGCGGCUAAUAUUACGUUAUGAGAAUAAUGUCCGGGAACCUGCAACAAGCAGCUUUGCUUGUCCGUCGCCAUCGUCAUUCGGACCAUAUGUAACUCAACCAUUCUUCUUCCAAGACCCUCAUUGGUGCUCUCCAACAGCAGCUGCCAAUCCUUACCCAACUCCUACACCGGCAGCUCCUUACGCACCACCAGCGCGGCCCUACCCACCUCCAUCUGAUCCUUGCUCUUCAUACUUAAUAUCUAACACAGCAGGCUAUCAACCAUUCCCAUACUCAGCUUAUCCUCCAUCUCUAUAUCCACCCGCUCUGCAAUCUUCACACAGUCUUUAUCCUCCAGGUCCAUAUCAAGGUACGUACCCUCCGCCGCCAUAUUGAGAGACAACCUAUAAAGCUUCUGCUCGCGGAAAUGAAAGAAGUUCACUGCCUGCGUAUAUUCAUUUUUUUUUAUUGUAUUCUCAAU